rnacentral:rRNA from 1 species
AUUUAAAGUGGUACGCGAGCUGGGUUUAGAACGACGUUAGAAAGUUCUGUCCCUAUCUGCAGUGGGCGCUGGAGAAUUGAUGGGGGCUGCUCCUAGAACGAGAGGACCGGAGUGGACGCAUCACUGGUGUUCGGGUUGUCAUGCCAAUGUGACUGCCCGGUAGCUAAAUGGGGAAGAGAUAAGUGCUGAAAGCAUCUAAGCACGAAACAAGCCCCGAGAUGAGUUCUCCCUGAGACUUUA